CGAACAACCGGGCCGUCGGUCUACCGAGCUAUGAAACCCUCUCGGUGGAAGAUCUUCCCUCCAUCGU
rnacentral:pre_miRNA from 1 species